CCGGAAACCAUGAUCCCACAGAGCAGAAGUGGGAGGGGACCGUGGAGCUGAACCACAGGCCCAUACCCGCGGCCGAGCCUGUCCAGAAACCAGAAAGGAGCCCAGCACGAGCCCGGAGGUUUGAUGUCAGUAUUUCAGCGGGAGUAAAAUGAUCCACUCGGUGGGGAAAUCCAUAGGGAUGUACCGUGUGAGCUUCAGUGGUCUUCAGGCUCCCCACAGCCCUGAGCAUCCCUGCCCCUUGCACUGUCCCUUCCUCCCCACAAUCCCCUCUCUCCGGGACCUGGGCUGUUGCUUGCGGGCCUCAGAUCCAUAGCCUUCACGUUUCUGUGGCAUUUUUGUAGGCACCAAAGUUUAAAUAAAAUGCUCAUAUAAAGAAAACAUGA